rnacentral:rRNA from 1 species
AUUGAACGCUGGCGGCAUGCCUAACACAUGCAAGUCGAGCGGAGCGGCGGACGGGUGAGGAAUGCCUAGGAAUCUGUCUGGAAGUGGGGGAUAACGUCCGGAAACGGGCGCUAAUACCGCAUACUCUCAGAUGAGCCUAGGUCGGAUUAGCUAGUUGGUGGGGUAAAGGCCUAACAAGGCGACGAUCCGUAACUGGUCUGAGAGGAUGAUCAGUGAGACGGCAAAUGAGACACGGACUAGACUCCUACGGGAGGCAGAAGUGGGGAAUAUUGGUCAAUGGGCGAAAUCCUGACGCAGCCAGGCCGCGUGUGUGAAGAAGGUCUUCGGAUUGUAAAGCACUUUAAGUUGGGAAGCGUUACCAACAGAAUAAGCACCGGCUAACUUCGUGCCAGCAGCCGCGGUAAUUC